GGCACGGGCCGCCUCGCGCGCUUCGUGCGACACGCACAGCAAAUCUCGCGAUGCCUUGAGGGCCUCGGGGCGUGAGGGCGGGGAGCGCCCGGCCCGGCCCCGGCUGGAGCGGUGGGAAAAGCGCGAAGGAUGGAGACGGCAGCACCUGGGAAUUCAGGCUUCUGGGCACGCCUCGCGUGUGGAUCCUUUUCUGGUCCUGAUGGUGCAAAGACACUGGCAGGAAUGGAGACCUGGUCAAGACAAAGUCUUAAAUAAUGCAAACGAAGACUCAGAGGGGUGUGUCCAUGCUGCUCUUAAAAGCAGACUCUUGGAAUGUAGCUCUGCUUUCUGAUGCAAAUGCAGGAAGAAAAAAAAAAAAAGGCAUCUGGGUUUGAUGAUGUUGCAUUUCUUCAAAAAAGAGUCAGCAGCCAGUUUGUUGAGAGUAUUGGUAUAAGAGACAGGCAUUUGUGUUUAAAGGACUUGCCAGUUUGGAAUGCAGAUAAAGCCUGUUAUUUUUGGUUCUGGGAAUGGGCCAUAGUCUGUUAAUAGGGGAAACACUAUGAUCAAACAUCUGUGUUCAUCUGUAUUGCCCAUGGCUUCUCUGUCAUGGAUUUUCUCAGGUGCCAAAAUCAGUGCCAAGAGCCAGACUGCUUGGGAAUGUUCCAUAAAUAUGGGAUUUCAAUGCAGAUUGUUUCUGUGAAUCUAGACUCUCAGGUGUAAAGUUUCCACUUUGCAGUAUCCUGAGUAUAAAUUAGCAGCAAGAGUAGACAAAACCAUUUCUCAGUGGAAGAAAGGGAUUGGUAAACAGCAGAGCAAUUUAGGAGACUGUAGAAGCAGAGAGUCCUAGUUCAGCUGAAAUUUAUGUGUACCUGAAGUCACAACAGCUGAGUUGCUUCUCUGGAACUGUCAGUGCCACUCUUAACCCCCUACACCCUGCAUGAAUUGCUGGGAUUGAAUUUCCAGAUGCCCUUAUUUGUUUGUGUAUUUGCUGUCACUUUCAAGUCAGGUAGCAGAUUUGAAGGAGCAGUAGAUCAGUUCCUGUUGGAUAUAAUUGAAAUCUCAUGGUCUUCUGUAAUCCAGGCAUAUACUUUGUAGUCACCUACAACAGGAUCCAUCCCUGGAAAAACAGAGGUGUUUGAAGCUGGGUGCAUCAGUUCAAAUUGGUUUUGUUUCCAUUCCUGCCUUUUGAAGUUCUGGGCAGCUGCAAGCCUUGACCAGCUCAGAAAGUGAGGGCAGGGGUCAUCUCCUUAACCAAGAGCCUGAAGAAGCUCAGGAGCCGUGUGUGAUCUCUACUGAUGCCGCUGUUUAGGAUUUUGAGGUGUGGAGUCAACAUUAUCCUCCCAAGAGCUCAGGAGAGGUCUGACUGAGGCAAAUCCUUCUGCAGCAGAGGAGGCAAAAUGUGAUGAGACAAUCUUGGAUUCAUGUGACAACAUACACGUGUUGAAAGACAGCAAGGAACAAAACAGGCUGACCAACAGAACCCACAGGAUGCCAUCUUGUGUCCUACAAAACAUAAAUUUAAUACUUACAUUGCUGCCAGCUUGCCAAAUUUUAGUCAUGUUGCCUAAAACACGUGGCUAUUUGGCAUAUGAGGGAAAGCAGUGUAAACUAGUAAAAUCUGGCAAUAGUCAGUUAGGGAGAAAAGUUUCAUUAACACUUUUCUUUUUCUGCCUUUGUUUUCCUUACUUUUGUUUUCUUUUACUCCAAGGUAAAAGAAGAAAAGCUUAAGUUACUAAACUGUUUUAUUGGUAUUUGGAACAAAAGAUCCUGUGGUGCUUCAUUUUUGGACUUUAGCAGUGACUUUUCUAUUGUCCAUAAGUUCGUAGUAAAAUGACCUGCAAUUUACGUGUUCCUUGUACUGCCCACAUUAAAGUUCUGAUGAGUGUUGUGUGA